GGGUAUGCGUACAUCUUCUCAUAUUAUCAUUUUUAUCAUUAGAUCUUUCCAGUAUCUGAAUGAAUUUGUUUAGUGGAAUACUAUUAUUAACUAUUUAGUGUACAUCAUAGUUCUUGUCCCAAAACCAUUUUCGUUCUUUUGACGAAGUUUUAUCUCUUUUAACAAUACCUCCCCAAUUCUUGCAGUGGAGUAAAUCUGAAGAAGGUUCAACUGCAAAUAGAUUUGCAGUCUCCGAGUUUGGAGACGACAGUUUUGCCGUUGGUAGUUGGGAGCAAAAAGAGAUAGUAAGCCGUGAUGGGCAGAUGAAGCUGCAGACUGGAGUCUUCUUUGCUUCAAUGACAGUUUUGCUGUUGGUAGUUGGGAGCAAAAAGAGAUAGUAAGCCGUGAUGGGCAGAUGAAGCUGCAGACUGGAGUCUUCUUUGCUUCAAUUGAUCAACGAAAUGAACGAGCUGCAGGUG
rnacentral:lncRNA from 1 species